rnacentral:lncRNA from 1 species
UAAUUUGUUCAUAUGUAGCAGCCUUCUCUAGCCUAACAGUGAGAUCAACCACAGAGACAUCAACAGUUGGAACACGGAAAGCCAUUCCAGUAAGCUUGCCGUUCAGAGCAGGUAGCACCUUCCCAACAGCCUAAGAAAAAACAAGAAUUCAAAUCCACCAAGAGAGAGGAGUCAAAUACCAUAAUAAUUCAGGACAGAAAUUUAGAAUUGUUACAACCAGCCCCCACCACUAGCACAUCACAAAUGCAGAAUCCAACUAAUAUACAUAACAAUCAUUGGUUGUCGACCAGAAAGUCCAUACCUUAGCAGCUCCUGUGCUGCUAGGAAUGAUGUUGAAGGAAGCAGCUCUUCCACCUCUCCAAUCCUUGCUUGAUGGCCCAUCAACAGUCUUUUGGGUAGCUGAAUUAAGGGUAGAAUAAACACAAUAAGGACAAGGUGUAUGCUCUUAUAAGUUAUAACCACACCAGCACAAAAUAAAAACACAUGAAGCAUACCAGUAAUGGAGUGGACAGUUGUCAUAAGACCCUCAACAAUGCCGAAGCGAUCAUUGAUAACCUGCAAAAUUGGACAAAGGAUAAGUACAAAAUAAUACUGAUCACUUUCAGACUUUAGCUAAAGCAAUAGAGCAGAUGAACAGGAAAUAACAAUAGCACCUUUGCAAGAGGAGCAAGGCAGUUAGUGGUGCAGCUGGCAUUUGAUACAAUGUGAAUAUCUGGCUUGUAGUCGUGCUCAUUGACACCAACAACAAACAUGGGAGCAUCCUUGCUUGGGGCUGAGAUGAUGACUUUCUUAGCACCACCC